UACGUAGGGGGCGAGCGUUGUCCGGAAUGACUGGGCGUAAAGGGCGUGUAGGCGGUCGAUUAAGUCUGGAGUGAAAGUCCUGCUUUCAGGGUGGGAAUUGCUUUGGAGACUGGUUGACUUGAGUGCGGAAGAGGUAAGUGGAAUUCCCAGUGUAGCGGUGAAAUGCGUAGAGAUUGGGAGGAACACCAGUGGCGAAGGCGACUUACUGGGCCGUAACUGACGCCGAGGCUCGAAAGCGUGGGGAGCAAAC
rnacentral:rRNA from 1 species